rnacentral:rRNA from 1 species
UGAGUAAUGUCUGGGAAACUGCCUGAUGGAGGGGGGAUAACUACUGGAAACGGUAGCUAAUACCGCAUAACGUCGCAAGACCAAAGAGGGGGACCUUCGGGCCUCUUGCCAUCAGAUGUGCCCAGAUGGGAUUAGCUAGUAGGUGGGGUAACGGCUCACCUAGGCGACAAUCCCUAGCUGGUCUGAGAGGAUGACCAGCCACACUGGAACUGAGACACGGUCCAGACUCCUACGGGAGGCAGCAUG